rnacentral:rRNA from 1 species
UCGAGCGCAGGAAACAGAUGACCCCUUCGGGGUGAUUCUGGUGGAAUGAGCGGCGGACGGGUGAGUAACACGUGGGCAACCUGCCUGUAAGACUGGGAUAACUUCGGGAAACCGGAGCUAAUACCGGAUAGUAUUUCCUUUCUCCUGAUUGGAAAUGGAAAGACGGUUUCGGCUGUCACUUACAGAUGGGCCCGCGGUGCAUUAGCUAGUUGGUGGGGUAAUGGCCCACCAAGGCGACGAUGCAUAGCCGACCUGAGAGGGUGAUCGGCCACACUGGGACUGAGACACGGCCCAGACUCCUACGGGAGGCAGCAGUAGGGAAUCUUCCGCAAUGGACGAAAGUCUGACGGAGCAACGCCGCGUGAGCGAUGAAGGCCUUCGGGUCGUAAAGCUCUGUUGUUAGGGAAGAACAAGUACGAGAGUAACUGCUCGUACCUUGACGGUACCUAACCAGAAAGCCCCGGCUAACUACGUGCCAGCAGCCGCGGUAAUACGUAGGGGGCAAGCGUUGUCCGGAAUUAUUGGGCGUAAAGGGCUCGUAGGCGGUUUCUUAAGUCUGAUGUGAAAGCCCACAGCUCAACUGUGGAGGGUCAUUGGAAACUGGGGAACUUGAGUGCAGAAGAGGAGAGUGGAAUUCCACGUGUAGCGGUGAAAUGCGUAGAUAUGUGGAGGAACACCAGUGGCGAAGGCGACUCUCUGGUCUGUAACUGACGCUGAGGAGCGAAAGCGUGGGGAGCAAACAGGAUUAGAUACCCUGGUAGUCCACGCCGUAAACGAUGAGUGCUAGGUGUUUAGGGGGGUUUCCGCCCCUUAGUGCUGAAGUUAACGCAUUAAGCACUCCGCCCUGGGGGAGUACGGCCGCAAGGCUGAAACUCAAAAGAAUUGACGGGGGCCCGCACAAGCGGUGGAGCCAUGGUGGUUUAAUUCGAAGCAACGCGAAGAACCUUACCAGGUCUUGACAUCCGCUGACAAUCUUGGAAGACAAGACGUUCCCUUCGGGGACAGCGUGACAGGUGGGUGCAUGGUUGUCGUCAGCUCGUGUCGUGAAGAUGUUGGGGUUAAGUCCCGCAACGAGCGCAACCCUUUGAUUCUAGUUGCCAGCAUUAAGUUGGGCACUCUAAAAGUGACUGCCGGUGACAAACCGGAAGGAAAGGUGGGGGAUGACGUCAAAUCAUCAUGGCCCUUAAUGA